UACAGAGGUCCCAAGCGUUGUUCGGAUUCAUUGGGCGUAAAGGGUGCGUAGGCGGUUGUUUAAGUCUGUCGUGAAAUCCCCGGGCUCAACCUGGGAAUGGCGAUGGAUACUGGGCAGCUAGAGUGUGUCAGAGGAUGGUGGAAUUCCCGGUGUAGCGGUGAAAUGCGUAGAGAUCGGGAGGAACAUCAGUGGCGAAGGCGGCCAUCUGGGACAACACUGACGCUGAAGCACGAAAGCGUGGGGAGCAAACAGG
rnacentral:rRNA from 1 species